AAAUAUCAUCCAAAGUUUUGCUUUGUUUGUUUGACAGAUAAGGCAAAACUUGUGGGAUUUGGGCUUUGCAGGACUUUUAGUUCGGCUGGCCUUAAAUAAUCUUAGCCAUAAAAAAGUCUCGGAUAAAGCGUAAUAGUUGGUACCUUCAGGUCCAUCCCUUUCGCUGAAGCCUGUCUUUUUAAUCUCUGGCUCAAUAAAUAUGGAAAAAUGAAAUAUGUAUAUAUGUAUAUAUAUAUUUCACCAUUG
rnacentral:misc_RNA from 1 species